rnacentral:hammerhead_ribozyme from 1 species
AUCCAGCUGAUGAGUCCUAAACAGGACGAAAUGAGCGCCCUGAAU